rnacentral:lncRNA from 12 species
GCAUUAUUGGGUUUGUUUGGUUUGUUUUUCUUAAAUGACCUUGAGGGUCCCUUCCAACCCAAACCAUUCUGUGUUUCUAAGAUGGGCUGGACCUGCCUUGCUGAGCACGAUGCUCCUUUUGCUAUUUCCUGGUACCCAGAGGCUGCUCAGAGCAGAAAUGACACAUUCUUAUGAUCUGCUUUCCAACCGCGCUGGGACACU